AUUACCUCAUGGCCUUUGGCUAAGAUCAAGUGUAGUAUUUGUUCUUAUCAGCUUAAUAGCUAGGGAAUUGUCUUUUAAAAAUCCUAUUUUUGAGUGUUUAGGUUGUAUAGGAGAGUUGAAAGAGAUACUCUGUUUACUAACUAGCUAAAGACCUACUAAGGACCCACAAAGUAAGCCCUAGAGCCUAA